UUCUUUACAGUUCAAAGUUCG
rnacentral:piRNA from 1 species